rnacentral:lncRNA from 10 species
CUCAUAUUCAAAUCUUUGUUAUUUCAUAAAGUGAAGAAGUGAAAGGCAGGCGAACAGAAACUAUAGACUCUGCUUUCUAAUCCCCUCACCAAAUACAGAGAUCCUCUCCAAGAUGCCUAAAAGGAAGAAAUUCUGCUAGUAUCACUCAAUAGCUCAUGGUCAAUAUUCUUCAGAUAAUGGAUAACAAGGGUGAUUAGCAGCAUUGAAAUAGAAAAAAGAAUAUUAAUUUAUAAUUCUUUUCCCACUCUGCGAAUGCAAGUGUUUUUCCGAAGGUACAGUGAGGGUUUGCUAGCAUCCCAUAACAUGUAUCUCUAAUAUCUAGACAUGCAAAAAGUUGUUGGGAACAGGCCCCCAAAUCUGGCCAUAGACAGGCCCCAAAACUAGCCAUAAACAAAUCUCUGCAGCACUGUGACAUGCUCAUGAUGGCUAUGACACCCACACUGAAGGUUGUUUGUUUACCGGAAUGAUGGCAAGGAACAGCUGGCCCACCCAGGGCAGAAAACCACUUAAGGCAAUCUUAAACCGCAAACAAUAGCAUGAGCGAUCUGUGCCUUAUGGACAUGUUCCUGCUGCAGAUAACUAGCCAGAGCCCAUCCCUUUGUUUCCCAUUUUAGUUAAUCUAUAAUCUAUAGAAACAAUGCUUAUCACUGGCUUACUGUCGAUAAAUAUGUGGGUAAGACUCUGUGGCUCUCAGCUCUGAAGGCUGUCAGCCCCCUGAUUACCACUCCACACUCUAUAUUUCUGUGUGUGUGUCUUUAAUUCCUCUAGUGCCACUGGUUAGGGUCUCCACGAUCAAGCUGGUCUCAGCAAAAAGUGAUUACUGUUUGAUUACUUGUAGGAAUUCUUGUUAUUCAGUAAUAGUAGUAUUAUUUGUUUUCCUUUUCCCGUGUUCUUUUUUUUCAUUUUUAUAAUUUGUCCUUUCCAACUGAAUGUGAAUAAUGAGUACCUUUUCAGUAGUUAGUGUGCCAGGAGCUGUGAUAUUGAAUAGGGUCACAGAGAUGAGUAAGACAAGUCUAAACACUCUCAUGAGGGAGGCCACAGAUUUCUACUUAAAGCCUUUCAGUAUGUAAAAGUCACUUCCCACAUUUUUGUUCGUUCAAAAAUGUCUUCUCUCAGAAUCCUGGUAUGGUUUCACAAAAAGAAGAGAGACUGUUCACAUAUUUUUGGGGGGGACUGAAUCUCUAUUCUCAUAAUUAAAAUUUUUUCCCUAUUUCUGAAAUAGUCAUAUUUUUAUUUUAUUUUAGUUUUUGGUAAUUAUUCUACCAGUUUGGAGUGUAGAAGUGGAAAAUAUGAUGCUAUUACAUUGCUAAGCAGCAAAAUGAGCAUAUAUUUCCAAGCCAUGCUAAUUAUGAUAUUAUAUAUGUAAUGUAUAAGUAAUAUAAUGAAUCAAGGGAUUAUAAAUAGAAUUUUAAGUUAAUAUGCUCUACAACAAUCCAGGUUUUUUUUUAAGUGAAGCAUAAAACGACAUAGAGGCUUUUCUUUUUUUGAUUUUUGCAUAUAAAAUCUCUGUCGGGUGCAAACACACAUAAAAAAUUUCAUUUUUUCCCUAUUUCUACACUCCCCUCCAAACUUCUUUGUGUUUGAUUCCUCUUCUUUCUCCUCAAUCCUGAGAUCCUGCCACAGUUAAUCCAAUGGAACGUCAUGUUUGUGAACAAACCAAAGUUAAGGGAUGUUGGGUUCCCCAGAGAUGGGCUUCAGAUGGACAAAGAUGACACUGGAGUAAGAGUCUUGCCCUGAGGAUCCAGAGAAACUCCAGAGGAUCUUAUCUUGGUAGAGGCCAUAGGGGACACCUCAGUCACUAGCACUGAGGGUCUAUUAAUUUCAUAAUUCAUUUAUCAUUCAGGUUGGUGAGAUUUAUAGAGCUGAGAAAAUGAGAGUUGUGACAGGCGAAGAAAGCCAAGGAAGACAUAAAUUUGGGAGAUAUAAAUGGUGUCCUGAAAAGGUAAUGCCACAUUAAGGAGAAAUGCCACUGGACUCUUACGGGAGGACAUGGAAGCAGGGCCCACUGUGACUUCCCUAGGACCUACGCACAUUUACCUACCUGGGCCCAUCUCCAUAAAAAUAUUAAAAUUAUGUCUUACGUUGCCUCGGUGGAGACACAAAGAGGGACCAGGUUUGAGUCAUUAUUACAUAUUUGUUAUCAUAUUAAUUUUUCUUUUUUUAGCAUAAAUUAAGACAGCCCUGUGCCUUCUAGUCUAAUGGGUAAGAGCGUCCAAAGCGUAGGACCCAGGCACAGGUAGUGAGGGCAUCAAAAAAAGUGAUUCACAAUGGUGCAGACAUAGGCAGUGUUACUUACAGACCAACAUUCCUGUUGGGUCAGAAAUUGAGCCGUGGAGGAAACCUAUGGUCUGAGGGCUACAGUGAAUCUCCUGUUUCACCCCAUGCCUGAAUUCAGGCCUGUCUUCCUGAUGUAGGAAAGAUGUGUCCCUCUGUUUUUGUGCAUCCUGCAGAAAAUGGUCUGUGAAAGAAUCUGCAAGCAUCACUUACAAUUGUAACUU